UGAGUCGAAACUGAGCUGAAUGCUGCGUG
rnacentral:piRNA from 1 species